rnacentral:rRNA from 1 species
GACGAACGCUGGCGGCGUGCUUAACACAUGCAAGUCGAACGGUGACGCUCCAGCUUGCUGCCGUGGCUCAGUGGCGACCGGGUGAGUAACACGUAAGCAACCUGCCCCUGACUCUGGCAUAAGCGCUGGCAACGGCGUCUAAUACUGGAUACGAGAAGGGUCCGCAUGGGCACUUUCUGGAAAGUUAUUCGGUUGGGGAUGGGCUCGCGGCCUAUCAGCUUGUUGGUGAGGUAAUGGCUCACCAAGGCGACGACGGGUAGCCGGCCUGAGAGGGCGACCGGCCACACUGGGACUGAGACACGGCCCAGACUCCUACGGGAGGCAGCAGUGGGGAAGAUUGCACAAUGGGCGAAAGCCUGAUGCAGCGACGCCGCGUGAGGGAUGACGGCCUUCGGGUUGUAAACCUCUUUCAGCAGGGAAGAAGCGAAAGUGACGGUACCUGAAGAAGAAGCACCGGCUAACUACGUG